rnacentral:misc_RNA from 1 species
UUCAGGGUAUAAACUGUGGUUUACUGAAAAGAAGAGGAAUAAGAACGAAGUGGGUGUAAUUAUAGACAGGACAUUAAAAGAUGUUAUAAUAGCUAUGAAAAGAGUAGGUGAUAGAAUUAUACUAGUAAAGGUAGUACUAGAAUGAGAAAUAAUAAAUGUAGUUAGUACUUAUGCUCCACAAAUAGGACUAGUUAGUGAGAGUAAACAAA